GCACAAUGCCUUGCAGAAAGAGCCGGCAGAAGAGCGCCUAUAUGAGCCUCCGUUUCCUCCCCUGUGAAAUGAGAAAGUGGGGCUAGAUGAGCUUGGAUUCUUGCUCGGCCACAUGCUACCAGUGUGAAGUGAAGUGAGGUGCACAGCUCUCCUGGGACCCAGUUUCCUCAGCUCUGAAAGGAGGAAGUUGGACAAGAUCGUUUUCAAGGCCUGAAGGACCGGUUAGAAAUGACCAGAAUGCCACUACCUGGCUGGGCCGGCCCCCCAACCUUGCUGCCAGUGACAGAGCUCCCAGGCCAGCCCCAGGGCCAUCCCUCCGUCUGAAUGGAGGCUGUCACGGAGGGAUCUGGGUUCCCAUCAAUGAAAGUGCAGAAUUAAACAAGAAUCCCCUAGAAUGGAAAGAAAUGGAUGCCAAGGACACCUGGGUGUGUGGCCCUACACACAUCCAGAAGGACGGGUGGUGGAUGAAUGGGCAUCUGGCAAGGAAUGUUCCACCCCCCACCCCAGGGGGGAGAAGAAUCCAAAGUAAAGACAAAGCAGAUUCUUAAAUAUUGA